GAUGAACGCUAGCUACAGGCUUAACACAUGCAAGUCGAGGGGAAACGACAUCGAAAGCUUGCUUUUGGUGGGCGUCGACCGGCGCACGGGUGAGUAACGCGUAUCUAACCUGCCCACCACUUGGGGAUAACCUUGCGAAAGUAAGACUAAUACCCAAUGAUAUCCCACGAAGGCAUCCGAAUGGGAUUAAAGAUUUAUCGGUGAUGGAUGGGGAUGCGUCUGAUUAGCUUGUUGGCGGGGUAACGGCCCACCAAGGCAACGAUCAGUAGGGGUUCUGAGAGGAAGGUCCCCCACAUUGGAACUGAGACACGGUCCAAACUCCUACGGGAGGCAGCAGUGAGGAAUAUUGGUCAAUGGGCGAGAGCCUGAACCAGCCAAGUAGCGUGCAGGACGACGGCCCUAUGGGUUGUAAACUGCUUUUAUAAGGGAAUAAAGUGGGUCUCGUGAGACUUUUUGCAUGUACCUUAUGAAUAAGGACCGGCUAAUUCCGUG
rnacentral:rRNA from 1 species